GUGCUCACUUCUGCAGCACAUACACUAAAAUUGGAACGUUACAGAGAAGAUUAGCAUGGCCCCUGUGCAAGGAUGACACACAAAUUCAUGAAACGUUCCAUAUUUUU
rnacentral:snRNA from 1 species